rnacentral:rRNA from 1 species
GGCCCGGGGCAAGCGUUGUUCGGAAUUACUGGGCGUAAAGGGCUCGUAGGCGGCCAACUAAGUCAGACGUGAAAUCCCUCGGCUUAACCGGGGAACUGCGUCUGAUACUGGAUGGCUUGAGAUUGGGAGAGGGAUGCGGAAUUCCAGGUGUAGCGGUGAAAUGCGUAGAUAUCUGGAGGAACACCGGUGGCGAAGGCGGCAUCCUGGACCAACACUGACGCUGAGGAGCGAAAGCCAGGGGAGCAAACGGGAUUAGAUACCCCGGUAGUCCUGGCCCUAAACGAUGAAUGCUUGGUGUGGCGGGUAUCGAUCCCUGCCGUGCCGAAGCUAACGCAUUAAGCAUUCCGCCUGGGGAGUACGGUCGCAAGAUUA